GAUCAGGUCCACCAUUGAUAAAGAGGUGAAGAUACAGUUCAGCAUCACUGGUUCUGGAGCAGAUCAACCCCCUGCGAACUCCCGCCGAAGUUCGCUCCCCUGCCUGUUCGGGCGGUGCUCGGUGGUCGUCGUCACCGGCCUACAAGCCGCCACCGAUCCCUUUUUCUGUUUGUUUUGUCUUAUUAGUUGCACCUGUGUCUAAUUGUGUUUUCCUGAUGUGCUUCCUUAUUUAAGCCUAGUAAUCCCACCCUUGUUUUGUGCGGGAUUAAUUUUGUGUUACGUGUUGUGUGUGUUAGUGCUCCUGACCGUGUACCCUGUGUUUUGGGUUGGUCAGUGUUUUCGUGUAUUUUGGUGCCAGAUUAAAGUGCACUUUUCCCUUUGGAACUCUCUGCUCUAUGCCCCUGAUUCUUACCUCACACACCCAGUCCCUCGUGACACUGUGGGACUGUUCACUGUGGACAAAAACUCUGGGAUUCUCUAUGUGACCAAGCCUUUGGACAGAGAGAGACAAGCCCAUUAUGUGGUAAUGUUUGGAAACAGGACAAAUAUCUGGGAAUGUUAGUUUGUGUUUUACCUUUUGAAUUCUAGAACUUUGAAUGCAUGUGUUGUUUUGAUGACAUUUUUAUUUUCCCCUUUAGCUUUUGGCUCAUGCUGUUGCAGAUGGUACUGGUAUAUCAGAAGAACCAAUGGAGAUUAUUGUUCAAGUAAUUGAUAUGAAUGACAACAAGCCAGUUCUCACCACAGAUGCCUUUAUAGGGAUCCCUACCAGGCUUUGAGGUCAUGGAGGUCACAGCCACCGAUGCAGAUGAGCCUGGCUCAGCCAAUUCUGAUGUCAGAUACACUAUUAUAAAUCAGGAACCUGAACUGCCGAGUCCCAACAUGUUUGUCAUCAACCCUGUCAUAGGAGGGAUUCGGGUCAAUGCUGCUGAACUGGACAGAGAGAAUAUUCCAAAAUAUACAUUGGAAAUCCAAGCUGCUGAUUUGGAGGGCAAUGGUCUGACAUGUUUCGGAAAAUCCAUAAUUACUGUAAUGGACAGCAAUGACAUAGCGCCUCAAUUUGAGAAGUCUUUGAGAACAAAGUGAAUGCCCUGGUGGUCAAAAUGCCAGUGAGUGAUGGAGAUGAGCCACACUGGGCCACCAAGUACAGGAUUGUAGUUGGAGACCCAGGUGGAAUGUUCACUGUAAACCCUGGACCUAGUAGACUGGAAGGAAUCAUUACCACAGCCAAGCCCCUUGACUUUGAAGGACAAUCGCUACACGCUGUUGGUGACUGUGGAGAAUGAGGUCCCAUUUGCCACACCCCUGCCCACCUCCACAGUCCAGCCUAGGAACAGGAUGACAGAUUUUGUACCUUGUCAGCUCGGGGAUUUGAUCUUGCAACCAUUUCGGUAUCGCAUGGACAGAGAUCCUGCUAAAUGGCUGGACAUCAACAGUGAGACCGGAAUGAUCAAAACCAAACACUCCCUGGACAGAGAGUCUCCCUUUGCCAAAGAUGGCAAAUACAGAGUUCUCAUUCUCGCCAUCGAAGAUGAAAUCCCUGCAACUGGAACUGGAACCAUUCUGAUAGAGCUGGAAGAUGUAAACGACAAUGCUCCGACUAUUGAUGACACCCCGUUGAAGCUCUGCAACCAAGACCCCCGUCUAGUGCGUUUGGCUGUGACAGACAGAGACGGGCCAGGCUUUGCUGAAGCCUUCAGUGUAGAACUUCUGGAAGGGUACAAUAUGUAUUGCGCUGCCCAAAUGGACGAAACAGGUGUGUAUUGCUUUUCACGUUCACUCUACAUUAGUCUGUUCAUUUGUAUUCAGAAUAAUAUUAACAGACCAAGUAUGUUCUUUUGACAACAUUCUUCACAUUCAAAGUUGAAAUGUGUCAAAUUGGAACUGUGGUUGAAUUGACAUUCAAGGCCAUGAGGAAGCAGAGAAACUUCUACAUUAAUCUGAUGCUGGCGGGCUGAACCAAGACCAUGUCAUUCACACCACCAUGAAUGAGGACAGCUGCAUGACCUGGGGGGAUUUCUGUGUUAGAUCCUGACCUAUAUGACAUUUCCUUAGCAUUUUUAUAGCUUGCAGAGCUGGAUUGCUUGUUUUGGGAAGGUUGUCACUUCUUUUGACAGCAGGGGUAUGUCACAAAGCCAGAAAUUAGUAGGGAAAUUCACAGCUAAUUUGCCAGUAUUUGUUCCAUCAAAGUACUGAACAUUUUUCGGAGUUACUUAUGUCAAGACAUGUUUUUUUGUUCACAUUUUCUAUUUUUUUGCUAGUUGUGGAUUUUGACUAGAAUAUUCCAACCUGAAGCCAUAUAAUCCUAUGAGUAUGAAAUUGAUUAGAAUUAUGUAUAACCAUAGUCUGUACAAUAUGUCUAUAAACCUUAUUUGAAUAACAGACAGACUGUGAGCAAGAUUCAGUGCUGAUCUUGUCUGGGGCCACAGAGUACUUCCCAGCUUCCCAUCUUGAGGGAGGAUGGGGAGUAAGUCUCCCGGAAUCCCGGAAUCUUUGUCACCUGGGUAGCAGGACAUUGUGUGCUAAUGUUAGUGUGAAUGUGUGUGAGUAUGUUAGUGUGUGUGUGAGAAACCAGUAUAAAAUGAAUUGUUUUGUACAAUAGAGCAGCGCACUCUCGUAAAUAAAUUUUCUGACUAUCGUAGCUGGGCCU